AAAGAGUAGUUCUCAUGGGGCUGUUCAUAAAAGAGUAUGCCUGGAGCUGCUGGUGGCCACCUUGACCCAUGAGGGAGAUGGCCUGAAAAUGGAUCCUAUAUUGAGGAGAUCAGCUUGAUGCAGGUAAACAUGAGGACCUUCAAAGCCAUUUUGGAUGUUGGAAGUGGGAGGAGCCACAAGGAGGAAGGACUCUGGGUACCAGAAUCACUCUUGGAGAUGAGCUUCAUGACAAUUAGGAGUCCCUGCUUGGGAGUACUACAUAAGUGAGAAAUAAGUGUCUGUUGUGUUAAACCAC